rnacentral:tRNA from 1 species
GCCACGGUGGUGCAGUUGGUAGCACUGUCACGGCAAGAAGGUCCUGGUUUCAAAUUCCAGCCUGGGCU